CUUCAGCUCAUGCUGCUCUUUUGUGGACCUUGUACACUGAACAUCGAUGUAAAAUAAAGACAGAGGCGUUGCAAUAUUGCUUUUUUUAUGAUUGGUGAUGCCUUGGAAGUGUCUUUCCUUCUUCUCUUAGCCGCCUUGAUCUCUAAUGAAGUGUCUGGAUAUGAAAUCCUCUUUGAUGGAAUGACACCCCUCUUAGAUGUUAUUUCC
rnacentral:lncRNA from 1 species